rnacentral:rRNA from 1 species
UUAGUAUACUCUCUGCGCCUCUAUUCUGCUCUAAUGGGUGGGGGAAGUGGCGAAAGGGGCAGUAAGGCGUGGGCAACCUACCCCGGGGAUCGGGAUAGCCGUCCUAACGGACGGAUAAUACCGGGCGAUCUGGCGAGGAGGCAUCUUCUGGCCAGGAAAUGAAUUUCGCCUCGGGAGGGGCUCACGUAGUAUUAGCUUGUUGGCGGGGUAACGGCCCACCAAGGCCAAGAUGCUUAGCGGGUGUGAGAGCACGACCCGCGCCACUGGCGCUGAGACACUGGCCAGACUCCUACGGGAGGCUGCAGUCGAGGAUCUUCGGCAAUGGGCGCAAGCCUGACCGAGCGACGCCGCGUGUGCGAUGAAGGCCUUCGGGUUGUAAAGCACUGUCGAGGGGGAGAAAAGCCCGCAAGGGUCUGAUCUAUCCCUGGAGGAAGCACGGGCUAAGUUCGUGCCAGCAGCCGCGGUAAGACGAACCGUGCGAACGUUGUUCGGAUUCACUGGGCUUAAAGGGCGCGUAGGCGGACGGUCAAGUCGGGGGUGAAAUCUUUCAGCUUAACUGGAAACGUGCCUUCGAUACUGAUCGUCUCGAGGGAGGUAGGGGCAUGCGGAACUUCCGGUGGAGCGGUGAAAUGCGUAGAUAUCGGAAGGAACGCCGGUGGCGAAAGCGGCGUGCUGGACCUCUUCUGACGCUGAGGCGCGAAAGCCAGGGGAGCGAACGGGAUUAGAUACCCCGGUGGUCCUGGCCCUAAACGAUGGGUACUAGAUUGUGGACUUAACAUGGGUUCCCAAUCGAAGCUAAAGUGUUAAGUACCCCGCCUGGGGAGUAUGGUCGCAAGGCUGAAACUCAAAGGAAUUGACGGGGGCUCACACAA